CAGUGUGACUCGUCACACUAUCAUUAACUGAAUCCAUAGGUUAAUGAGGCGAACCGGGGGAACUGAAACAUCUAAGUACCCCGAGGAAAAGAAAUCAACCGAGAUUCCCCCAGUAGCGGCGAGCGAACGGGGAGGAGCCCAGAGCCUGAAUCAGCAUGUGUGUUAGUGGAAGCGUCUGGAAAGGCGCGCGAUACAGGGUGACAGCCCCGUACACAAAAGCGCAUGUGCUGUGAGCUCGAUGAGUAGGGCGGGACACGUGGUAUCCUGUCUGAAUAUGGGGGGACCAUCCUCCAAGGCUAAAUACUCCUGACUGACCGAUAGUGAACCAGUACCGUGAGGGAAAGGCGAAAAGAACCCCGGCGAGGGGAGUGAAAAAGAACCUGAAACCGUGUACGUACAAGCAGUGGGAGCACAGGUUUACCUGUGUGACUGCGUACCUUUUGUAUAAUGGGUCAGCGACUUAUAUUCUGUAGCAAGGUUAACCGUAUAGGGGAGCCGUAGGGAAACCGAGUCUUAACCGGGCGUUAAGUUGCAGGGUAUAGACCCGAAACCCGGUGAUCUAGCCAUGGGCAGGUUGAAGGUUGGGUAACACUAACUGGAGGACCGAACCGACUAAUGUUGAAAAAUUAGCGGAUGACCUGUGGCUGGGGGUGAAAGGCCAAUCAAACCGGGAGAUAGCUGGUUCUCCCCGAAAGCUAUUUAGGUAGCGCCUCGUGAAUUCAUCUCCGGGGGUAGAGCACUGUUUCGGCUAGGGGGCCAUCCCGGCUUACCAACCCGAUGCAAACUGCGAAUACCGGAGAAUGUUAUCACGGGAGACACACGGCGGGUGCUAACGUCCGUCGUGAAGAGGGAAACAACCCAGACCGCCAGCUAAGGUCCCAAAGUCAUGGUUAAGUGGGAAACGAUGUGGGAAGGCCCAGACAGCCAGGAUGUUGGCUUAGAAGCAGCCAUCAUUUAAAGAAAGCGUAAUAGCUCACUGGUCGAGUCGGCCUGCGCGGAAGAUGUAACGGGGCUAAACCAUGCACCGAAGCUGCGGCAGCGACGCUGAUGCGUUGUUGGGUAGGGGAGCGUUCUGUAAGCCUGCGAAGGUGGCCUGUGAGGGUUGCUGGAGGUAUCAGAAGUGCGAAUGCUGACAUAAGUAACGAUAAAGCGGGUGAAAAGCCCGCUCGCCGGAAGACCAAGGGUUCCUGUCCAACGUUAAUCGGGGCAGGGUGAGUCGACCCCUAAGGCGAGGCCGAAAGGCGUAGUCGAUGGGAAACGGGUUAAUAUUCCCGUACUUGGUGUUACUGCGAAGGGGGGACGGAGAAGGCUAUGUUGGCCGGGCGACGGUUGUCCCGGUUUAAGCGUGUAGGUGUGUGUUCCAGGUAAAUCCGGUUCACUUUAACACUGAGGCGUGAUGACGAGGCACUACGGUGCUGAAGCAACAAAUGCCCUGCUUCCAGGAAAAGCCUCUAAGCAUCAGGUAACAUCAAAUCGUACCCCAAACCGACACAGGUGGUC
rnacentral:rRNA from 1 species